GGGAUUGCCUCAGUAGCGGCGAGUGAAGCGGCAAAAGCUCAAAUUUGAAAUCUGGCGUCUUUGGCGUCCGAGUUGUAAUUUGAAGAAGGUAUCUUUGGGCCCGGCUCUUGUCUAUGUUCCUUGGAACAGGACGUCACAGAGGGUGAGAAUCCCGUGCGAUGAGAUGACCCGGGUCUGUGUAAAGUUCCUUCGACGAGUCGAGUUGUUUGGGAAUGCAGCUCUAAGUGGGUGGUAAAUUCCAUCUAAAGCUAAAUAUUGGCGAGAGACCGAUAGCGAACAAGUACAGUGAUGGAAAGAUGAAAAGAACUUUGAAAAGAGAGUGAAAAAGUACGUGAAAUUGUUGAAAGGGAAGGGCUUGAGAUCAGACUUGGUAUUUUGCAUGCUGCUCUCUCGGGGGCGGCCGCUGCGGUUUACCGGGCCAGCAUCGGUUUGGAGCGGCAGGAUAAUGGCGGAGGAAUGUGGCACGGCUUCUGCUGUGUGUUAUAGCCUCUGACGAUACUGCCAGCCUAGACCGAGGACUGCGGUUUUUACCUAGGAUGUUGGCAUAAUGAUCUUAAGUCGCCCGUCUUGAAACACGGACCAAGGAGUCUAACGUCUAUGCGAGUGUUUGGGUGUAAAACCCGUACGCGUAAUGAAAGUGAACGAAGGUGGGGGCCCAUUAGGGUGCACCAUCGACCGAUCCUGAUGUGUUCGGAUGGAUUUGAGUAAGAGCAUAGCUGUUGGGACCCGAAAGAUGGUGAACUAUGCCUGAAUAGGGUGAAGCCAGAGGAAACUCUGGUGGAGGCUCGUAGCGGUUCUGACGUGCAAAUCGAUCGUCGAAUUUGGGUAUA
rnacentral:rRNA from 1 species